UACGUAGGGUGCGAGCGUUAAUCGGAAUUACUGGGCGUAAAGCGUGCGCAGGCGGUUCGUUGUGUCCGGCGGUGAAAGCCCCGGGCUCAACCUGGGAAUGGCCGUUGAAACUGGCGAACUGGAGUGUGGCAGAGGGGGGUGGAAUUCCGCGUGUAGCAGUGAAAUGCGUAGAGAUGCGGAGGAACACCGAUGGCGAAGGCAGCCCCCUGGGCUGACACUGACGCUCGAGGCACGAAAGCGUGGGGAGCAAACAGG
rnacentral:rRNA from 1 species